rnacentral:rRNA from 1 species
AUUGAACGCUGGCGGAAUGCUUUACACAUGCAAGUCGAGCGGCAGCGCGGGGGCAACCCUGGCGGCGAGCGGCGAACGGGUGAGUAACAUAUCGGAACGUACCCAGUCGUGGGGGAUAACUAUCCGAAAGGAUAGCUAAUACCGCAUACGUCCUGAGGGAGAAAGCGGGGGAUCGCAAGACCUCGCGCGAUUGGAGCGGCCGAUAUCGGAUUAGCUAGUUGGUGGGGUAAAGGCUCACCAAGGCGACGAUCCGUAGCGGGUCUGAGAGGACGACCCGCCACACUGGAACUGAGACACGGUCCAGACUCCUACGGGAGGCAGCAGUGGGGAAUUUAGGACAAUGGGGGCAACCCUGAUCCAGCCAUUCCGCGUGAGUGAAGAAGGCCUCGGUGUAAG